rnacentral:snRNA from 1 species
UUUAAAAAAUGCUUAAAAUAUAG